rnacentral:rRNA from 1 species
UCAGGAUGAACGCUGGCGGCGUGCUUAACACAUGCAAGUCGAACGAGGGUGCUGGUUGAAGUUUCGGAUGGAACCGGUAAUUCCUAGUGGCGGACGGGUGAGUAACGCGUGGGGAACCUGCCCCGCUCCGGGGGAUACCAGCUGGAAACGGCUGUUAAUACCGCAUAAGCGCACAGCAUUGCAUGAUGCAGUGUGAAAAACUCCGGUGGAACGGGAUGGCCCCGCGUCUGAUUAGCCAGUUGGCAGGGUAACGGCCUACCAAAGCGACGAUCAGUAGCCGGCCUGAGAGGGCGACCGGCCACAUUGGGACUGAGACACGGCCCAAACUCCUACGGGAGGCAGCAGUGGGGAAUAUUGCACAAUGGGGGAAACCCUGAUGCAGCGACGCCGCGUGAGUGAGGAAGUAUUUCGGUAUGUAAAGCUCUAUCAGCAGGGAAGAAGAUGACGGUACCUGCACAAGAAGCCCCGGCUAACUACGUGCCAGCCGCCGC